rnacentral:rRNA from 1 species
GACGAACGCUGGCGGCGUGCCUAAUACAUGCAAGUAGAACGCUGAAGGAGGAGCUUGCUUCUCUGGAUGAGUUGCGAACGGGUGAGUAACGCGUAGGUAACCUGCCUGGUAGCGGGGGAUAACUAUUGGAAACGAUAGCUAAUACCGCAUAAGAGUAGAUGUUGCAUGACAUUUGCUUAAAAGGUGCAAUUGCAUCACUACCAGAUGGACCUGCGUUGGAUUAGCUAGUUGGUGGGGUAACGGCUCACCAAGGCGACGAUACAUAGCCGACCUGAGAGGGUGAUCGGCCACACUGGGACUGAGACACGGCCCAGACUCCUACGGGAGGCAGCAGUAGGGAAUCUUCGGCAAUAGACGGAAGUCUGACCGAGCAACGCCGCGUGAGUGAAGAAGGUUUUCGGAUCGUAAAGCUCUGUUGUAAGAGAAGAACGAGUGUGAGAGUGGAAAGUUCACACUGUGACGGUAUCUUACCAGAAAGGGACGGCUAACUACGUG